rnacentral:rRNA from 1 species
AACAAACGCUGGCGGCGUGCCUAAUACAUGCAAGUCGAACGGGGAAAGCUUUCGGGUGAGUACUAGUGGCGCACGGGUGAGGAACGCGUGGAUAAUCUGCCUUAGAGUGGGGGAUAACUAGUCGAAAGAUUAGCUAAUACCGCAUAAGACCACAGGAGCUGCGGCUCGAGGGGUCAAAGGUUUUUCGCUCUCAAGAUGAGUCCGCGUAAGAUUAGCUAGUUGGUGAGGUAACGGCUCACCAAGGCGACGAUCUUUAACUGGUCUGAGAGGAUGAUCCGUAACACUGGAACAGAGACACGGUCCAGACUCCUACGGGAGGCAGCAGUAGGGAAUAUUGCACAAUGGAGGAAACUCUGAUGCAGCGACGCCGCGUGAGUGAUGAAGGCCUUCGGGUCGUAAAGCUCUGUCGCAGGGGAAUAACACAAUGAAGGUACCCUGUAAGAAAGGAUCGGCUAACUUCGUGCCAGCAGCCGCCGUAACAC